UGCCACAGCCAUGUCACCCUGCAGCCCAAGGCCGAUUACUCACUGAAGCUAAGCAGGGCUGAGCCUAGUCAGUACCUGGAUGGGAGACCACUAGGGAGAACUAGGUUGCUGUUGGAA
rnacentral:rRNA from 1 species